rnacentral:rRNA from 1 species
UACGGAGGAUGCAAGCGUUAUCCGGAAUGAUUGGGCGUAAAGAGUCCGUAGGUGGUGAUUCAAGUCGAUUGUUAGAGAGCGGGGCUUAACCCCGUAGAAGCAGUGGAAACUGAAUCACUAGAGAGAGGUAGGGGUAGAGGGAAUUCCCGGUGUAGCGGUGAAAUGCGUAGAGAUCGGGAAGAACACCAGUGGCGAAAGCGCUCUACUGGACCCCAUCUGACACUGAGGGACGAAAGCUAGGGGAGCGAAAGGG